rnacentral:rRNA from 1 species
AAGCUCGUAGUUGAAUUUCGUGAUUGACGUAAUGGUCAUGCCUUAAGGGUAUGAACUGUUACUGUUGAUUUCUCACCUUCUGGAGAAACUUGAUGUCCUUUAUUGGGUGUCUUGCGGAUCCAGGACCUUUACCUUGAAAAAAUUAGAGUGUUUAAAGCAGGCAUUUUCGCUCGAAUACAUUAGCAUGGAAUAAUAGAAUAGGACGGCAUGGUUCUAUUUUGUUGGUUUCUAGGAUCACCGUAAUGAUUAAUAGGGAUAGUUGGG